AUGCAGGCCUUUCCACAACCUCCUACUACAAAGUCUGAUCGACACGUAGAGAUUGCUGAAGGGAGCUUCUACGUGGAGACGGAACUAGAAGGGGAUAAUGCACUAGGCCAACUGAUAGGGUAUUAUGCGGAAUCCCUGCAUGUGCAUGAUAUCUCGGUACCAGCUAUUCUACCUGGACACUAUGGGUGGAGCCUUAGGUGGUGCUGCAUGGAGAGGUGCCCGAACUUGGAUACCGGCAUCUUUUCGGAUUCCUAUGUUUUUUCUAAAUUGGAGACCUUCUGGGCAUCACAUCUCCUAAUGGCCCGCUGGAUUUGGAGUACAAGGUCGGUCAACAGUGCUCGAUUCGAGAAUCUGCAGCACAUACACCUGCGCUCCUGCACCAGGCUACAGGUCGUGCUUGCAGGGUGGUUCACCAACUUGCCAAGUUUGGAGACCCUCCAUAUCAUCCACUGUGGCGACCUCAGCCACGUCUUCAUAUGUAAUCGGCAAGAUAAGGACACCUAUAAUUCACCCUUCCUGAAGCCAGAUAAAGUCUACGAGGAAUCAUUCCCAAAGUUGACUAGCAUCCACCUACACGACCUCCCGAAGCUGCAGCAGAUAUGUGACGUCAAGAUGGAGGCACCUGCACUCAAGAGCAUCAAGAUCAGGGGAUGCUGGGGCCUGCGCAGGCUGCCAUCCGUGGGUGCCCGUGGCCAAGGCGAGAAGAAGCCGGCCGUCGAGAUCGAGAAGGACGUGUGGGAUGCUCUGGAGUGGGACGCGGACCACCGUCCUGACCACUUCGAGGCACUGGUCCACUCACGCUACUACAAGGAGAAGCUGCCCAGGGUUUCCGUCCUCAGGUGA
rnacentral:rRNA from 1 species